GUCUAUGGCCAUACCACCCUGAACAUGCCUGAUCUUGUCUGAUCUUGGAAUCUAAGCAGGGUCGGGCCUGGUUAGUAUGUGGAUGGGAGAAUUCACUGCUUAGGGGGUCAGGUGGUACGUAGUGC
rnacentral:rRNA from 1 species